rnacentral:rRNA from 1 species
AAGAAAGUAAGAAAGGGCGUAUGGCGGAUGCCUAGGCUCACGGAGGCGAUGAAGGACGUGAUAAGCUGCGAUAAGCUUCGGGUAGGUGCAAAUAACCCUUGAUCCGGAGAUUUCCGAAUGGGACAACCUAGCCGUCUGAAGGACGGUUACUCUUACCAAGUAAGAGAGCUAACGCAGGGAACUGAAACAUCUUAGUACCUGCAGGAAGAGAAAAUAAAUGAAUGAUUCCCCCAGUAGUGGCGAGCGAACGGGGAACAGCCCAAACCGUUGACGUCGCAAGGCGCCAGCGGGGUUGUAGGACCGCGACAUUGUACUGAAAUGGUGAGUGGAAGUAUCUGGAAAGUUACAUCACAGAAGGUGAUAAUCCUGUACACGAAGCCAGAUCAGGCAUAGCGGUAUCCUGAGUAACGCGGGACACGAGGAAUCCUGCGCGAAUCUGCCGGGACCAUCCGGUAAGGCUAAAUACUCCCGUGAGACCGAUAGCGAACGAGUACUGUGAAGGAAAGGUGAAAAGAACCCCGAGCAGGGGAGUGAAAUAGUUCCUGAAACCAUACGCCUACAAGCGGUCGGAGCA